GACGAACGCUGGCGGCGUGCUUAACACAUGCAAGUCGAACGGGCCUGUCUUCUUUUUUGGGGGUGGGUUGAGUGGCGAACGGGUGAGUAUCACGUGAGUAACCUGCCCUUCGGUCCUGGAUAACCGCUUGAGAGGGCGGCUAAUACGGGGUGGUCCGGUUGGUCCGCAUGGGCUGGUCGGGAUAGAUUCACUGUUUUUGGUGUUUCGGCGGGGGAUGGGCUCGCGGCCUAUCAGCUUGUUGGUGGGGUGAUGGCCUACCAAGGCGGUGACGGGUAGCCGGCCUGAGAGGGUGGGCGGCCACACUGGGACUGAGAUACGGCCCAGACUCCUGCGGGAGGCAGCAGUGGGGGGUAUUGCACAAUGGGCGGAAGCCUGAUGCAGCGACGUCGCGUGAGGGAUGGAGGCCUUCGGGUUGUGAACCUCUGUUUCCGGUGGUGAAGGCCCUGUCCGUGUGGUGGGGUUGACGGUAGCCGGGGAUGAAGCGCCGGCUAACUACGUG
rnacentral:rRNA from 1 species